UUUAAAAGUUUGUGUGAGC
rnacentral:piRNA from 1 species